rnacentral:rRNA from 1 species
AGAGUUUGAUCCUGGCUCAGAGCGAACGCUGGCGGCAGGCCUAACACAUGCAAGUCGAACGGACCCUUCGGGGUUAGUGGCGGACGGGUGAGUAACACGUGGGAACGUGCCUUUAGGUUCGGAAUAGCUCCUGGAAACGGGUGGUAAUGCCGAAUGUGCCCUUCGGGGGAAAGAUUUAUCGCCUUUAGAGCGGCCCGCGUCUGAUUAGCUAGUUGGUGAGGUAAUGGCUCACCAAGGCGACGAUCAGUAGCUGGUCUGAGAGGAUGACCAGCCACAUUGGGACUGAGACACGGCCCAAACUCCUACGGGAGGCAGCAGUGGGGAAUCUUGCGCAAUGGGCGAAAGCCUGACGCAGCCAUGCCGCGUGAAUGAUGAAGGUCUUAGGAUUGUAAAAUUCUUUCACCGGGGACGAUAAUGACGGUACCCGGAGAAGAAGCCCCGGCUAACUUCGUGCCAGCAGCCGCGGUAAUACGAAGGGGGCUAGCGUUGCUCGGAAUUACUGGGCGUAAAGGGCGCGUAGGCGGAUCGUUAAGUCAGAGGUGAAAUCCCGGAGCUCAACUUCGGAACUGCCUUUGAUACUGGCGAUCUUGAGUGUGAGAGAGGUAUGUGGAACUCCGAGUGUAGAGGUGAAAUUCGUAGAUAUUCGGAAGAACACCAGUGGCGAAAGCGACAUACUGGCUCAUUACUGACGCUGAGGCGCGAAAGCGUGGGGAGCAAACAGGAUUAGAUACCCUGGUAGUCCACGCCGUAAACGAUGAUUGCUAGUUGUCGGGCUGCAUGCAGUUCGGUGACGCAGCUAACGCAUUAAGCAAUCCGCCUGGGGAGUACGGUCGCAGAUUAAAACUC